rnacentral:rRNA from 1 species
AUACGUAGGGGGCGAGCGUUGUCCGGAAUGAUUGGGCGUAAAGGGCGCGUAGGCGGCCCGGUAAGUCUGGAGUGAAAGUCCUGUUUUUAAGAUGGGAAUUGCUUUGGAUACUGUCGGGCUUGAGUGCAGGAGAGGUAAGUGGAAUUCCCAGUGUAGCGGUGAAAUGCGUAGAGAUUGGGAGGAACACCAGUGGCGAAGGCGACUUACUGGACUGUAACUGACGCUGAGGCGCGAAAGUGUGGGGAGCAAACAGGAUUAGAUGCCCUGGUAGUCCACACUGUAAACGAUGAAUGCUAGGUGUAGGGGGUAUCGACCCCUUCUGUGCCGCAGUAAACACAAUAAGCAUUCCGCCUGGGGAGUACGGCCGCAAGGUUGAAACUCAAAGGAAUUGACGGGG